AUGCGGGCGUGGUCGACGGCGGCGCGGGAGAGGGAGGGCGCCGCCGCGGCAGGGGGGCUCGUGCCCACGCCGACGUUUGACCGGUCCCCGAUCCUGCAGCACCCCAUCGCCGCGGAGCUGUACCGAACGUUCUUGCGCUUCUUCGCGCCGGCGCUGCCUCUGCUCAGGUCACCAUCCAGUUCCAGUACAUCUUCCACGGUGGACACGGCGCCGCAGAUCCGAAGGACCUUCGUGCUCACCGCCGACCGGAUCCGGUCCCUCAAGCAGCAGCGCACUCCGCCAAGCGGAACUGCUGACCAGGGCCAGUCGCCGGCGAGCACCUACGUCGCUAUCUUGUCCCUCGCGUGGGCGUCCCUGGUCCGCGCCAAGUCCAUGGACCACGCGGACGACACCCACUUCCUUGUCGCCGCGGACUGCCGGCGCCGGCUGCGGCCGCCGCCGGGCGAGGGCUACUUCGGGAACUGCAUCCGGCCGUGCUUCGCGAGGGCCAACGUGGGCGAGCUGUGCGGCCAGGGCGGGGUCGCGCGCGCGGCGGCGGCCAUCCGGGAGCGCGUCCGCGAGGACCUGGAGCGGGCCUCGGACCCGCUGGAGUGGAUGGAGCGCGUGCUGGAUGUCGUCCGUGGCAUCCCCAAGGAGAGGCUGACCUCGGUGGGGUCGUCGCACCGGUUCAUGGCCUACUAG
rnacentral:rRNA from 1 species